UCUAAAGGGAGGGAGUAACUAUUAAAUUGAAAGAUAAAAGAAAAACUUCAAUUUAUUAGAGUUUAAUUUUCAAUUUAAUUCUCAAAGUAGCUUCCAUCUCGAACCAACGCCACCACCAUCUUCCCUUGUCCGCUGCCACUUUGCUCUUUUGCAUCAGGAAUAGAUUGGAAUUGCAGUGACUUCAACUUCCCGGAAAACACAGCUGGAGUUCUUCUGCGUUGGCGUAAAGAGUUCAAGUUUGGAAGUUGAAUCAAUUUGGGAGGAUGAAUCGAAAAUUUGGAGGUGGAAAGAAACCAACUGGGACUCCUUCAUUGCCCUGGUCAUGUGUGGUUGUCAUCUGUUCUCUUCUUGCCGGUGCUUCUGUUGUACACAAUAUCUAUAAACCUAACCUCACAUUGCCACCAAUUGAUGGAGUUGAUGAAACCAAGAAACUAGAUGCGAAAGAACGAUGAACUCCUGGUUAUCACUUUUUUCUUAUAUCUUGAAGAGGAGCAUGUUUUGAGUCCUAGAAUUUACUGUAUCUGUUAUUAAAACAUAGAGGCAGAGAUUGUUCUUCCCCAACGGUUCAUUUUUUUAUAUUAGGAUUUUUAGAUAUUAGGACAUAGUAUAAAUGUUUUUGUAUAAGCUAUUGUUGUAUCCAAAGAUAUAAUAAAGUCAAAUUAUUUUCAUAUAA